AAAAAGAUAAAAUGCUGAGGAAUUGCAAGGAUACAAAACAGAGAGCUGCAAGCCCUCUAUGAAAUGAAGAGAAGAGGCAAAUGGCUUUCAAAGAUCAAGGCUCAUGGAGAGAAACAAGAGAGUAAUAGUCGUGGGUGAAAAGUGAGAAGUUGAUGUGUCUCUGACCCCAUGGAGAAGGAAUGUAAACCUUGAUUCUGCAAGUUCUGCCCUGAUGACAAUUGUACCAACCUCAAGUGUGGAAAGUCAGUGGGGUUCUCCCAUUUAGUGGUAGCUGAUAGAACUUUCCUUCAGAGGAUCUCAG
rnacentral:lncRNA from 1 species